GACGAACGCUGGCGGCGUGCUUAACACAUGCGAGUCGAACGGAAAGGCCCUGCUUGCCGGGUACUCGAGUGGCGAACGGGUGAGUAACACGUGGGUGAUCUGCCCUGCGCUUCGGGAUAAGCCUGGGAAACUGGGUCUAAUACCGGAUAGGAGCCAUUUUUAGUGUGAUGGUUGGAAAGUUUUUUCGGUGUAGGAUGAGCUCGCGGCCUAUCAGCUUGUUGGUGGGGUAAUGGCCUACCAAGGCGGCGACGGGUAGCCGGCCUGAGAGGGUGGACGGCCACAUUGGGACUGAGAUACGGCCCAGACUCCUACGGGAGGCAGCAGUGGGGAAUAUUGCACAAUGGGCGCAAGCCUGAUGCAGCGACGCCGCGUGGGGGAUGACGGCCUUCGGGUUGUAAACUCCUUUCGCUAGGGACGAAGCUUUUUGUGACGGUACCUAGAUAAGAAGCACCGGCUAACUACGUG
rnacentral:rRNA from 1 species